rnacentral:misc_RNA from 1 species
GUGAAUCAUCAAAUUUUUGAACGCAAAUUGCACUCUCUUCGGAUAGUAUGGCUGUUUGAGGGUCAGCCUAAAAAAAAUCGACAUAGUUGCUGUUUCGCUGUGACAUUCGUCUGAAAUUGGGGCAUCGUAAACCUUUAGGUUUUAAGCGGCUUAAAAUUUUCGUUACGAUUCCACGAACGUUUCUAAGAUUUUACUUCUUACACUUUUAAGGUAUCGAUCUUUAUUAGACGUGGCCUUUGCAUCGGAUCACGUCCAUACAUAUUUCGUUAACUGACCUCAUACAGGUAAGAACACCCGCUGA